rnacentral:rRNA from 1 species
GACGAACGCUGGCGGCGUGCUUAACACAUGCAAGUCGAACGGAAAGGCCCUGCUUUUGUGGGGUGCUCGAGUGGCGAACGGGUGAGUAACACGUGAGUAACCUGCCCUUGACUUUGGGAUAACUUCAGGAAACUGGGGCUAAUACCGGAUAGGAGCUCCUGCUGCAUGGUGGGGGUUGGAAAGUUUCGGCGGUUGGGGAUGGACUCGCGGCUUAUCAGCUUGUUGGUGGGGUAGUGGCUUACCAAGGCUUUGACGGGUAGCCGGCCUGAGAGGGUGACCGGCCACAUUGGGACUGAGAUACGGCCCAGACUCCUACGGGAGGCAGCAGUGGGGAAUAUUGCACAAUGGGCGGAAGCCUGAUGCAGCAACGCCGCGUGCGGGAUGACGGCCUUCGGGUUGUAAACCGCUUUCGCCUGUGACGAAGCGUGAGUGACGGUAAUGGGUAAAGAAGCACCGGCUAACUACGUGCCAGCAGCCGCGGUGAUACGUAGGGUGCGAGCGUUGUCCGGAUUUAUUGGGCGUAAAGGGCUCGUAGGUGGUUGAUCGCGUCGGAAGUGUAAUCUUGGGGCUUAACCCUGAGCGUGCUUUCGAUACGGGUUGACUUGAGGAAGGUAGGGGAGAAUGGAAUUCCUGGUGGAGCGGUGGAAUGCGCAGAUAUCAGGAGGAACACCAGUGGCGAAGGCGGUUCUCUGGGCCUUUCCUGACGCUGAGGAGCGAAAGCGUGGGGAGCGAACAGGCUUAGAUACCCUGGUAGUCCACGCUGUAAACGGUGGGUACUAGGUGUGGGGUCCAUUCCACGGGUUCCGUGCCGUAGCUAACGCUUUAAGUACCCCGCCUGGGGGGUACGGCCGCAAGGCUAAAACUCAAAGGAAUUGACGGGGCCCCGCACAAGCGGCGGAGCAUGCGGAUUAAUUCGAUGCAACGCGUAGAACCUUACCUGGGUUUGACAUGGAUCGGGAGUGCUCAGAGAUGGGUGUGCCUCUUUUGGGGUCGGUUCACAGGUGGUGCAUGGCUGUCGUCAGCUCGUGUCGUGAGAUGUUGGGUUAAGUCCCGCAACGAGCGCAACCCUUGUUCACUGUUGCCAGCACGUUAUGGUGGGGACUCAGUGGAGACCGCCGGGGUCAACUCGGAGGAAGGUGGGGAUGGCGUCAAGUCAUCAUGCCCCUUAUGUCCAGGGCUUCACGCAUGCUACAAUGGCUGGUACAGAGAGUGGCGAGCCUGUGAGGGUGAGCGAAUCUCGGAAAGCCGGUCUCAGUUCGGAUUGGGGUCUGCAACUCGACCUCAUGAAGUCGGAGUCGCUAGUAAUCGCAGAUCAGCAACGCUGCGGUGAAUACGUUCCCGGGGCU